rnacentral:rRNA from 1 species
UACGUAGGAGGCAAGCGUUGUCCGGAUUUACUGGGCGUAAAGCGCGCGCAGGCGGCAUGGCAAGUAAGGUGUGAAAUCUCCCUGCCUAACGGGGAGGGUGCAUUUUAGACUGCCAAGCUAGAGGACGGUAGAGGGGGGGUAGAAUUGCUGGUGUAGCGGUGAAAUGCGUAGAGAUCAGCAGGAAUACCCGUGGCCGAAGGCGGCCCCCCUGGG